GGCUGAUUGACUUCAGCAGGGCUGCAGUUAACAGCCUGAAACAUUUCUUUCCCAGUGCUGCUGGGUUGGGCUCUUCUCUUGGACUUACAAGCACCAGCAUUUCAGUAAAGCUAUGAGUGGCAGCUCUUACUGCCUGGGAACAAACUCAUGUGGUCCAGUCAGGAGGAUGACAGCUCUGCACCACCGGAGUUCCUCUGGGGCCCAGUCCGAAGCACCGGUCUGGCAGCUACGACGUACCAAUGCUUCCUGCUCCCUAUUGGUGUCACUUGGAGAUUUGACUGUCAGCAUCACAAAAACAGCACCAGGAAAAGCCACAGGAUACUGCAUAAAGCCCAGAACGACUGAAAGUUGGAGUGCUUCUUUUCAGGAGGUACAUUUUUCACCGGUUUAUCAGCCUCUGCCUUCAUGGAUUACUGGGGAUAUAAGGACAUGUUCAGCUCCCAUCAUCCUUCUCCGUUUAGCUGACAUAAUUUACAGUUGGAUGCACCAUUUUUGCACAAAGCUCUGUCUCUGGAAUUAGCUGUCUACAGGCAGCUCUUUGUUUUCAACCGAAUUUAAGAUUAUGGCUGAGCCAUAAAAGGGAAGAAAGGUGACACUGGAGAGCUUCUGCAGCGGUAAAUCCUGAAAUAUUCGGGCCUGUGACAUUUUUGUAGCUGGCAAAUGCUGAGUGAGGCAUAUCUGGUCAACACAGAGGCCCAAACCUGGUUAAGUUUCACAGAAGAAACUGCUACAAGUCUCAGUGAGGGGAUGAAAAUGCUCCUGUUGUUAAACGUCUCAGACUGGAGAGCAGCCAAACAGUGGAGGAAAUGCAGGAGAGAGCAUCACCCCGAUAAGGGCCGGCCGGACGAGCACUGUGCUAUCAGGGACAAAUAUUCAGGAUAAAUUACCUCCAUCCUUUGGUGCCUCCAGCAAGCUGCCAAAGACGCAGUCCAUAUCCAGGUGGACCUUGUCUAUAAAUGCAAAGAGAACAACACGGUGUCUCUUCUUCUGUGCCUAACAGUUCAACAGCUAUGAUCAGAUAUGUUAAACAUGAGAGGUCUUUAGCUGCCCUUUAAUAAUCAUGGAGAUGGCCACACUCAACCCUCCAAUGACUCUACUGGAUUAGGUGGAGUUCACAGCAGAGAUGGAUUUGACCUAGUAAGUAUAGCAGUGGUCUUUUGGGUUUGCUUUACAUAGCACGCAAAGAAGCUCUUCAAAGGUUUGUGGUGCAACAUGACCUUGACUUCAACUCUCAUUUUAAUGGCUACUUGGAAGAUGACAAAGACCACACUCUUUGGGAGAUUGCCGUAGGGUGAGAAGCUUCAAAACCACAUGGCCAAAUCUAAGCAUAAGUGAAGUCUGUGCAGCCCACACAACUGCAGUGGCAGCUGUCGGAAAUACGCCAGAGAAAGCCAUGCUCCUGGCUGACAACUGGAGGGUAGGGAGUCUGAAGCACAACUUAAAGCAAAAACGUUCCUUUGAUUGGUGUCCAAAAUUGGUGACUGCUUCCUUUCAGGAUGAGCAUGCUGUGCCUAGGGAGAUGCUGAUAAUCUCUUGAAACAACUGCAGUCAGUAUGGAUUGGUGGGCUGAUCGGCACUGUGAUCCAUACGCUGUGGCACUUAAAGCACUUGGUUUUGAUGAAUGUGGGUGUUUACCUUGUUUGAGGGAGUAGCCAGUCAUUUUGUAAUGAUUUUCUGACCACUGAGCAAUGUGCUUUUAAGCAGCAGAAAUUCACUCUUAACACCUGAUUCAGAAGGAUUUCAGAUCCCUACAUUGACCAGGAUCACACAUCAUCCCUCUGUGCCUCGGUCUGUCCUCAUAAUCAAGUUCACUCUCAGUAGCACGUAUUUUAUUAAAUGUAGCUGUGAGAAUGUCACCAAUUAUGAAGGGAAAAGCAAGAGUGAAGGUUAGAGGGGAAAGGUGAAGGUUAAAUUCAGACAUUCAUGAGUUUAUGGGGUAGUUUGUCCUCAAAUCAAAGCCAGGCAUUCAUGUCAAGCUACAUAAACAGGAAUAAAUGUUCAUGUGAAGCUUGCUAAGGAAGCAAAAACCCAUUUGCCACAGGAAAAUGUGCUUUCUUCUGCCUUUCCCUCCUCUUGGCCCAAAGAAAGGACAUUGCUCGGAGCAUGUUGCUAUCCUGGACGAUGCAAUAAUUCUGAAGAUAAAGACCCCAAAAAGUCCCUGCCAGAAGACGCGUUCGUGCCCAGCAGCCUGCUGAGUGCUGCAGCCACUGCUGUGAGCACAGUCUGCAGACUGGCAGGAGCAGGAUCCCAGAGCAGAGGUGUGUGCCCAGCACUGGGGUCAGGAAAAGAGCAGGUCUCCUGAUCUUUCCUGAGGUGUCCAGAGAUGGUUUUUCUCAGUGUCACACCCUGUAAAAAGUUCAACUCAAGGCAGAAUUUUGGGAAGGGAUGGGAAAACUGGUGAGAACAUUUUUUAAAAGGCAAGUGAACCGCACAUCCCCAGCUACCUUUUAUUUACCAAACAGAAGUUUCCCUGUGUGAUACAUUUCUUAAAUUAUAGGUUUCCCAUUUCCUGGCAUCCUAAUAAAGUCUAAAUGAAUG
rnacentral:lncRNA from 7 species